UUUUGGUCCCUACUCGGGACCUUCUUCAGGGUCAAAUACAACAGUUGUAUUUGACCCUGAAGAAGGUCCCAAGCGAGGACC